rnacentral:rRNA from 1 species
UACAGAGGGGGCUAGCGUUGUUCGGAAUUACUGGGCGUAAAGGGCGCGUAGGCGGCCCGCUAAGUCGAACGUGAAAUCCCCGGGCUCAACCCGGGAACUGCGUCCGAUACUGGCAGGCUUGAAUCCGGGAGAGGGAUGCAGAAUUCCAGGUGUAGCGGUGAAAUGCGUAGAUAUCUGGAGGAAUACCGGUGGCGAAGGCGGCAUCCUGGACCGGCAUUGACGCUGAGGAGCGAAAGCUAGGGGAGCAAACGGG